CCUACGGGAGGCAGCAGUGGGGAAUUUUGGACAAUGGGCGAAAGCCUGAUCCAGCAAUGCCGCGUGAGUGAAGAAGGCCUUCGGGUUGUAAAGCUCUUUUGUCAGGGAAGAAACGGUGGGAGCUAAUAUCUCUUGCUAAUGACGGUACCUGAAGAAUAAGCACCGGCUAACUACGUGCCAGCAGCCGCGGUAAUACGUAGGGUGCAAGCGUUAAUCGGAAUUACUGGGCGUAAAGCGUGCGCAGGCGGUUUUGUAAGUCUGAUGUGAAAUCCCCGGGCUCAACCUGGGAAUUGCAUUGGAGACUGCAAGGCUAGAAUCUGGCAGAGGGGGGUAGAAUUCCACGUGUAGCAGUGAAAUGCGUAGAUAUGUGGAGGAACACCGAUGGCGAAGGCAGCCCCCUGGGUCAAGAUUGACGCUCAUGCACGAAAGCGUGGGGAGCAAACAGGAUUAGAUACCCUGGUAGUCCACGCCCUAAACGAUGUCUACUAGUUGUCGGGUCUUAAUUGACUUGGUAACGCAGCUAACGCGUGAAGUAGACCGCCUGGGGAGUCGGUCGCAAGNUAAAACUCAAGGAAUUGACGGCNGAGAGAGCGAGCGACGACGAGGGAGAGG
rnacentral:rRNA from 1 species